UUUUUUUUUUGUCUAGUUUCCUAAUAGCCCUGAAAACAAACUUUUUUUCCCUUUUGAUAAGCAUUACCUAAGUUCUGAGAGACCAAAUAGAACAUUUGUAUGUCAAAGUCCCAGGGCAAGAACGCAAGUUCUUCCAGUUUCCCAAGGCCAGAAUUUUUAUAAUAGCUAUAAACCUUUUGAGAUGAAAAGGGGACGUUUUGUGAUCAGUUAAAAAAAAAAAAUGAAUUUUUUUUUCCUACUCUUGCAAAGACUCAAUUUGUAGGACAAGUUGUCCUCAAUUCGCAGGACAGUUGUUUUCAGUUCCUGAAAGAAUUGGGUUGUAACCUGAAUAAUACCAAGGGUGCUGACCCACCCAUACAACUAACUACAUUAUCUUCAAUUUGCUUCUUUACACCAGAGAGAGGAUCUUUAAAUAGAAAUCAAAAUAUUCCUAUGUUCCAGAUUUAAAGUUGUUUGUCUUUGGAAUGUUUUCAUUGCCCUGGGGGUGUAUAGUUUAAUUUUCGCUUAGGGGAGAAGGCCAAAAAUACUUUCCUGCCAGGCUUUGAAUAUUAGCUACCAGUUUGGCCAACUUCUAACCAUAGAGUUUCUUUAAAAAAAAGCUUUUCAAAUAUCUUUUCAACUUUCAACCAGGACAAGCAGCAAAUAUUCUGGCAAUAUUGAGCAACCCAAAGUAUUCUACUCUUUCCAAGAUCCAGAGUCACUUCCAAAAAUAGCCAAAAGAAAGAAAGACUUAGACAAUUCCCUUGAGAGCUGGCAACAGUUGGUAGGACCCUAACUACAAAUGUAAUGCAACACACAUUUCUGUCCAGCCAUAUUUUGGGACCCCCAACCUGAGGGUGGAGCUGCCUAUGUACACAAGAAUGGAUAACCUGUAUGUCCCAGGCAAACAGAAUGUGGAUCCAAGUUUUCAGGACACUGAACACAAACAACAAGGAAAUAGUUUUCCCUGGGAUAGAAAGGAGCCACAAUGAAUACCCCAAAACCAAAUCUGUAAGAGUCUGGAUUUGGAAAGUGACGUGAGAUUUUACUUUCCUUUCUCAGCCUGCCACCUCUGACAUCAGGAGACUGACUGGUAUUAAAAGGAGCUCUGGGAUGUUCAAGAAAUAAAUGUUACAUAGGAAUCUUUUAAUAAAUACACAAGCCGUCUGGACCCCAAUCCCCACUUCUCAACCACAAUUAAUAAAAAAGAGGAGGCAGCAACAAGCAUGGACCUGGGCAAAGAAGCAAACCCAUUAUGGAAUUCUAAGUAUCCUGUUACUUAACCAAAAGAAGUUGAAAAAAUGGUGGCUUAGAAUACUCAGGUCUAAUGACUCAGUGACAAAUCUCUUUGUCUGAGGCCCUGGGUCAGAUCCUUUUCAGGCACCUCUGAGGAGGCCUUCUGAUGUGAGCAUCCAAUAUGGAGUUGCUUCUUUCAGGCUUCCAAUAUGGAGUUCCUUAUGGCAGGCUUACCUGCUUUCGCUGCUAAACAUACCCCACCCUAAAAGGCAUGCUUGUGAAAGCCCAAACCAGAUAACUCCAUAUGUCAGGCAUGCCAGUGAACGCUCAAACUGGACAACACCACAUGUGGACUGUCCCCUCUUAUCUCCAACCCCCAGAUGGACGGACUGGACUAUAUAAGGGACCAGACACAGAACCCCUGUGGCAAGCUCAUCUCAGAGGUCCCAACACCAGAUGACAGACAUGUGCUCUGAGGUUGGCUCCUGCUUAUCUGCCCACUCUCCUGCUCUGUCACAGAUCUGUCACUCUACUGAACUGUCUCAGCUGCAUCUCCUUCCCCUUGGGAAAGACAAGAGGCUGACUGGGACAGCCUGGACUCGAACCAUCCAUCAUGACCAGUAUGAGAGGUACUGAUCUGUGACAUGUGUGAUUUUCAGAUAUGUGUGAUCCCCCCUUUGGGUGUUGUAUGAAAGGAAAUUGCAAAAUAAACUGUGUGAUUUGUGCAACCAUAAGUGUGUUAAUUUCAUUACUCCACCACCCUGCAGCUCUAUACUUCCUGACCCACUCGCAUCACCUCCCUACAGGGAGAGUAGAGGAAAACCUAGAAAACAGUUUUCCCCACUCAGAUCCAAUAUCCAGUACUUUUUUACUCCAAACCCUUCCCCAUUACCCUUCUCCUGACUUUAGGGUCCAUAAAACUGCCUGAGCCUUUUGCUGGGGCUCCCUCGAUAGUGAGAGGACUCCCGCCCGUCUCAGUCCUGAUCCAUCUGCCUUUAACCUGUGCACUGUCCAUAGGGGUGUUGGAAGGAAGAAAUUUCCUCUACCUUUCAAGGUUCUUCAAGCUGGUCUAAGAAUCAAAUUGAAAAGAGACAGGAGGAAAAAACAAAUUUAAUUAUAUACCUAAGGGGAAUCUAUAGACAAAUAAUAGAGACAGUCAGGGAAAAUAAAGUAUAUACGUUAUCCUCAACCAAGGGCAAGAGGUUAGGAGUCUGAGGUUUCAAAGGACUAUGAAAGAUUAAAUGUUUGGUAAACAAAUAAUUUGCUGGGCCACACAGAAAUAGUGGGACACAGAGAGGAAUAUUAAUAGACUGAGCCACAUCCCUGUCUACCAUACCUAGUUUACAUUAUAAUAUUGUUAUCUAUGGCGAUAGUUCUCCUCCUAGAGUUCCUCCAUCUAAAUUAUUUUUAUGCAGUUGUGGGGUGUGGGGGAUUAUCAAAGUGUCAUUGAGUCUUAGGGCAUUGUAACUCCGGGAAGAGGAAAUCCUGGGGCAAAACACCUCUAAAAGCAAAAUCAGUCAAAGGGAGAAAUAAAGUUUAAAACCCAUUUAUUGCUUAUAAACCGUGGUCCUGGGGCCAUCUCUUUCCUGCUCCAAUAGAAGCAAGCGAGAACUCCCCACAACCUCCAAUGUUCAGAUAAGCCCUCUGUCACCCAGGUAAUUUACCCAUUGAUACGGAGAUGAACUACUGCUCUCCACCCCUUAGAAACACCUAUUGAUAUGCAGAUGCUCUAAAGCCAGGUGAGAUAUAUUGGAAAUAUUACAAUUUUACCCAUAGGCCUUGUCUUCAGCUUACAUGUGACAAUGGCACAUUUUGUGAUAGCCUGCCCUUGGCCCCUACAGGGGAGAAUCAGAGGAAGUCAGUGGUUUCUCCAGUUUUAGCUUCUGUCUUAUAUAUGGGUAAAAUUGCAGUAUUUCUAGAAUCUCUUGCCUGGCCUUAGUCCAUCUCCAUAUCAAUAGGUGAUUACAAGGGUGGAGGGCCCGCAGAGGUUUGGUGGGGUCCCUUUUUGCAGCUGGCUCCUGAGAGACACAGGUGAGCAAAAGUGGACUACUGCUUGUAAGCAAUAAAUAGGUUUCUACCACUUUAUUUCUCCUUUGAUUUCUGCUUCAAAAGUAAUUUGCUCUGGGCUGGGAACUUAUUUUCCCUCCAUAGUUACAUUAUACCAUCACAGAAAGUGAAUAAAGGCUUAACUCUUUCUUCUUUGGCUUGUUGCUUUAUUUAUUUAUCCAACUAUCCAGGCACCUGACAGCUCAUUUCUCUGGUUCCCACCCAACCUGAGCUCCAGAUAAGGCACUUAGGCCCUGUCAAAGUUUGCUCCAGUAAACCUUCAGGGCAUCUUUUCCCCUGCAAUUUUCCCUAAUCUUCAUAUUCAGUCACACUGUACCUGCACCAGUCUCUACAGUUAUCCUUUCAUAUUCAGCGAUUUUGAACAAUGUUUUGUCUAGAAACUUUCCUUUCUUCUUGCCACUGAAUAAGAGAAAAAUAACUAAUAUUGCUAAAGAAUCAAUAUGAACAUAACUAGGUCAAUAUAAACAUAACUUCCUCUCCAAAGAUCUUCCCAUCUCACUAACAGGAGAUUACCUUUAUGUUACCCCAUCUUGUAAGAGCUUUGUCACAGUUAUAUAUAUAUCAAAUCAUAUUACAAUUUAUAUGUCUAUGUAGGAGUCAAAGGUAGGCUGCCCCCAAGUGUGCCACUGUGAUAUGUGAGCUGAACACAAUCAAGGCCCAAGACUCAAAGACAUUUUCACACACACACACACACACACACACACACACACACACACACACAAUGCACACACAACUUCAUAAAAAGAAUUUAGAUGGAGGAACUGCUCCAGAGGAGGACUAUCACCAUAGAUAACAAUAUUAUAAUGUAAAACAUGUAUGGUAGACAGGGAGGGGUGUCGCUAAAUUUGUUAAAAUUCCUCUGUUUCUCUGUGAACCUUGCUAAUGCUUUCUUCUCUAUUCACAUAGCACAGGACAGUAAGGAACAGUUUGCCUUCAUGUGAGAAGGCCAGCAGGGGACAUUCAUUGUCUUUUCACAGGGAUCCCUCCACAGUCCCACCAUUUGUCACGGACUUGUAGCCCAGGACUUGGCCACAUGGAAGAAACCACAAACAGUGUGGCUGUAUCACUAUAUCAUGAUAUCAUGAUAUCAUGCUCACAUCUGAUUCUCUUGAAGAUUUAGAAGGGGCAGCUCCUAGACUGCUGCAACAUCUACAGGAGAAAGGAUGGGCUGUGAACAGCAUCAAGGUUCAGGGACAUGGUUUGUCUGCAAAAUUCUUGGAGGUUGUCUGGUCAGAUAAAACUAAAGUUAUCCCAGAAGCAGUCAUAGACAAGGUCUAGGCUUUCUCUAACCCUACCACUGUGGUAGUAUUACAAGAGUAUUUGGGUCUUUUGGGUUGCUGGAGAGUGUUUAUACUGCACUUGGCACAAAUUCUGAAGCCCUUAUACUAGUUGGUACAAAAGGGCUUUAGGUGGGACUGGGAUAAAACAUGUGCAGCUGCUUUUACUGCUGUUUAGUGAGCAGUCAAGGCUAUACAGGCCUUGAGGGUAAUGUACUCAUCAAGACCCUGUGAGCUAGAUGUUCAUGUAACCAAAGAUGGUUAUGUGUG